GACGAACGCUGGCGGCGUGCUUAACACAUGCAAGUCGAACGGAAAGGCCCUGCUUUUGUGGGGUGCUCGAUUGGCGAACGGGUGAGUAACACGUGAGUAACCUGCCCUUGACUUUGGGAUAACUUCAGGAAACUGGGGCUAAUACCGGAUAGGAGCUCCUGCUGCAUGGUGGUGGUUGGAAAGUUUCGGCGGUUGGGGAUGGACUCGCGGCUUAUCAGCUUGUUGGUGGGGUAGUGGCUUACCAAGGCUUUGACGGGUAGCCGGCCUGAGAGGGUGACCGGCCACAUUGGGACUGAGAGACGGCCCAGACUCCUACGGGAGGCAGCAGUGGGGAAUAUUGCACAAUGGGCGGAAGCCUGAUGCAGCAACGCCGCGUGCGGGAUGACGGCCUUCGGGUUGUAAACCGCUUUCGCCUGUGACGAAGCGUGAGUGACGGUAAUGGGUAAAGAAGCACCGGCUAACUACGUG
rnacentral:rRNA from 1 species